AUGGAAAAAGCAAGAGAGUUCCAGAAAAACAUCUAUUUCUGCUUUAUUGACUAUGCCAAAGCCUUUGACUGUGUGCAUCACAAUAAAUUGUGGAAAAUCCUGAGAGAGAUGGAAAUACUAGACCACCUGACCUGCCUCUUGAGAAAUCUGUAUGCAGGUCAGGAAGCAACAGUUAGAACUGGCCCUGGAACAACAGACUGGUUCCAAAUAGGAAAAGGAGUGCAUCAAGGCUGUAAAUUGUCAUCCUGCUUAUUUAACUUCUAUGCAGAGUACAUCAUGAGAAUCACUGGACUGGAAGAAACACAAGCUGGAACCAAGAUUGCCGGGAGAAAUAUCAAUAACCUCAGAUAUGCAGAUGACACCACCUUUAUGGCAGAAAGUGAAGAGGAACUCAAAAGCCUCUUGAUGAAAGUGAAAGAGGAGAAUGAAAAAGUUGGCCUCAAGCUCAACAUUCAGAAAACGAAGAUUAUGGCAUCUGGUCCCAUCACUUCAUGGGAAAUAGAUGGGGAAACAGUGGGAACAGUGUCAGACUUUAUGUUCUUGGGCUCCAAAAUCACUGCAGAUGGUGACUGCAGCCAUGAAAUUAAAAGACUCUUACUCCUUGGAAGAAAAGUUAUGACCAACCUAGAUAGUAUAUUCAAAAGCAAAGACAUUACUUUGCUGACUAAGGUCUGUCUAGUCAAGGCUAUGGUUUUUCCUGUGGUCAUGUAUGGAUGUGAGAGUUGGACUGUGAAGAAGGCUGAGCGCCAAAGAAUUGAUGCUUUUGAACUGUGGUGUUGGAAAAGACUCUUGAGAGUCCCUCGGACUGCAAGGAGAUCCGACCAGUCCAUUCUGAAGGAAAUCAACCCUGGGAUUUCUUUGGAAGGAAUGAUGCUAAAGUGGAAACUCCAGUACUUUGGCCACCUCAUGCAAAGAGUUGACUCAUUGGAAAAGACUCUGAUGCUGGGAGGGAUUGGGGGCAGGAGAAGAAGGGGACGACCGAGGAUGAGAUGGCUGGAUGGCAUCACUGACUCGAUGGAUGUGAAUCUGAGUGAACUCCGGGAGUUGGUGAUGGACAGGCAGGCCUGGCAUGCUGCAGUUCAUGAGGUCGCAAAAAGUCGGACACGACUGAGCAACUGA
rnacentral:lncRNA from 1 species